AUUGAACGCUGGCGGCAGGCCUAACACAUGCAAGUCGAACGGUAACAGGAAGAAGCUUGCUUCUUUGCUGACGAGUGGCGGACGGGUGAGUAAUGUCUGGGAAACUGCCUGAUGGAGGGGGAUAACUACUGGAAACGGUAGCUAAUACCGCAUAACGUCGCAAGACCAAAAAGGGGGACCUUCGGGCCUCUUGCCAUCGGAUGUGCCCAGAUGGGAUUAGCUAGUAGGUGGGGUAACGGCUCACCUAGGCGACGAUCCCUAGCUGGUCUGAGAGGAUGACCAGCCACACUGGAACUGAGACACGGUCCAGACUCCUACGGGAGGCAGCAGUGGGGAAUAUUGCACAAUGGGCGCAAGCCUGAUGCAGCCAUGCCGCGUGUAUGAAGAAGGCCUUCGGGUUGUAAAGUACUUUCAGCGGGGAGGAAGGGAGUAAAGUUAAUACCUUUGCUCAUGGACGUUACCCGCAGAAGAAGCACCGGCUAACUCCGU
rnacentral:rRNA from 1 species